rnacentral:rRNA from 1 species
UACGUAGGGUGCAAGCGUUGUCCGGAAUUAUUGGGCGUAAAGAGCUCGUAGGCGGUUUGUCGCGUCGGGAGUGAAACCCAGGGCUUAACCCUGGGCUGGCUUCCGAUACGGGCAGACUAGAGGUAUGCAGGGGAGAACGGAAUUCCUGGUGUAGCGGUGAAAUGCGCAGAUAUCAGGAGGAACACCGGGUGGCGAAGGCGGUUCUCUGGGCCAUUACUGACGCUGAGGAGCGAAAGCGUGGGGAGCGAACAGG